rnacentral:rRNA from 1 species
UCACUGACGCUGAGGCGCGAAAAGUCGGGGGAGCAAACAGGAUUAGAUACCCUGGUAGUCCCGACCUUAAACGGUGCACACUCGGGGUGGGGCCAUUUCACCGGCCCCGUCUCUCAGCUAACGCGUUAAGUGUGCCGCCUGGGGAGUACGGCCGCAAGGCUAAAACUCAAAGAAAUUGACGGGGGCCCGCACAAGCAGAGGAGCAUGUGGCUUAAUUCGAUGCAACGCGAAGAACCUUACCUGGAUUUGACAUGCAGCUGCACGGCCUAUGAAAGUAGGCCUCCUCCGAGGGUGCUGCACAGGUGCUGCAUGGCUGUCGUCAGUUCGUGCCGUGAGGUGUUUGGUUAAGUCCACCAACGAACGCAACCCCUUUGAGAUGUUGCCAUCGGGUCAGGCCGGGAACUCGUCUCAGACUGCUGGUUCACGCCAGAGGAAGGUGGGGAUGACGUCAAGUCAGUAUGGCCCUUACAUCCAGGGCUGCACACGUGCUACAAUGGCGUAUACAGAGCGACGCGAGGCCGCAAGGCGGAGCAAAUCGCACAGAGUACGCCCCAGUUCAGAUCGGGGUCUGCAACCCGACCCCGUGAAGUCGGAUUGCUAG